AGAAUUACCUGGCAGGGAAGGUACCAUGAUCGUGAAGAUGAUUGCAUUUUGGAUGAAAUUCAUUGCAUUUCCAAUGUGUUGACCCCUGCAAAUUCACGAAAUUGAGGAAACUUGUCUGUGUAAUUUGUGAAUGAAGAAAUUGCAUAUACAUACCCCCAUUCAC
rnacentral:snRNA from 1 species